GAUGAAGAACGUAGCGAAAUGCGAUAAGUAAUGUGAAUUGCAGAAUUCAGUGAAUCAUCGAAUCUUUGAACGCACAUUGCGCCCGCCAGUAUUCUGGCGGGCAUGCCUGUUCGAGCGUCAUUUCAACCAUCAAGCCCCCGGCUUGUGUUGGGGACCCUGCGGCUGCCCGCAGGCCCUGAAAACCAGUGGCGGGCUCGCUGUCACUCCGAGCGUAGUAGCAUAUAUCUCGCUCAGGGCGUGCUGCGGGUUCCGGCCGUUAAAAGCCUUUUUUUUACCCAAGGUUGACCUCGGAUCAGGUAGGAAGACCCGCUGAACUUAAGCAUAUCAAUAAGCGGAAGA
rnacentral:misc_RNA from 1 species